UACAUGUGAUGUUUUGAUGUUCAUAAUUAAGAAGCGAAGAAGAGUCUACUUUAGAUAUAUUUCAUGUGUGCUUCAUUGUUAAAUCUUGAGAAAGCUGUAGAUUGAUUUCUAGAUUGCUACUCCUAAUUCGGGAAUUAGUAGAUAAUAUUUAGAGAUUUAUCAAGUAAUGUGGUGGAAUCCGAUGCCUUAGUUACUUCGUCAUCAAGGUAAUUUUUAUCUAUUUUAUUUGUCUUAGCUAUUUCACCAUCAAUUUUCAUUCAACUAGGUUAGUGUUAAAUUAAUUUAGAUUCGAUUAGUUUUUCCUAUUUUCAUACAUUUCCUGUGGGUUCGACCUCGUUCUUACAUAUUUGUGCUGCAACUGAUUCGUGCGCUUGCGAGUAACAUUUUAAAACACAUCAAGUUUUUGGCGCCGUUGCCGGGGAGUGUAACGGAAAACUAAUUUUGUUUAAGUUGAUUUAAUUCUUCCACUAGUAAUAGCUUAGUUUUCAAUCAUAAAAAAAAAACUAAAAAAAAAAGGUCUGCAACAUUUACGUACAUAGCAACUUUAGUUUUAGAUUUGUAGUUGUCUCUUUUGACUUUGGUUACAUGCAUUAUAUCUAUAUAUCAACUUGCAUAGCAUUGAUAACAAAUAGUUACUUGUGUUCUUGUUUUGCCAAACCUACGUUUCCUAACUUCACUUUUUUGUCUAUUUUAUUUCAUUUUGGUAACAUAGGAAUAGGAACAAACAUAAAAAAAUAAAAAAAAUAAAAAAAAUAAAAAAAUUGUAGACUACAUUUACGUUUUAUAUAUCCAUUGCAUAGAGUAGUAUUAGCUAGCUUCAUUUCACAUCAUUUUGCACUUUUUUAGGCUACUAUUGUUCUUACUAUUCUUACAAUAGUUUAUUUUCAAGGUACUUUUCUUGAGUCAAAGAAGGAGAGCUAGCCAAAGAAGAUCAAAAUUUGGAGGAACAAAGUGACAAUUGAUCGAAGAAGAGAAAGUUAUGGUUGCCAUGCGGUGAAAACAGCGAGAGAAAAAAAAAAAGAAAAUUCUUGCCUCGGCAGAAAUUUCUUUUCUUUUCCGGGUGUGUCAUUUCUAAGUUCUCUACUUUUUGCUUAUUUGGUUAUUUUCCUUUUGAUCAUUGUUGUACAUUUUUUGGUAAUAUAUAUAUAUAUAUAUAUAU
rnacentral:lncRNA from 1 species